GACAAGCAUGAAUCCCAUUUUAGGGGGUUUGUGCUAUUAAAAAUCAGUACUGGUCUGCAACACUUUUAAUUAAUACACAAAUUAUUUAUCCUUUUUACUAUUUUUUAUAACUGUUCCUGCUGUUGCCACAUCUUUAGGGAUCAAAACCCUUUGGCCAACUCUAUUUGGAGUUUCAGUUCUCGAACACUGUUCACUGCAUCAGUGAACUCUUGAUGUUGAACUCGGUUAUACACGCACAGUGCAAUGCCCCAUGUCCCUCCCACUCACCGUCUUACUUAGGAGCUAAUGCUCAUAUCUCCUCUUUGGUCAAUCGUUCAGCAUCAAAGGUGACAUGUAUUGCUUUUGUUAAGAGCUGUUUGGACCGUCUCAAGACAAAGGUCACAGACUGAGUCAUCAGAAGUUGCAGUAUUGCAAAAAAAGGAUGGAUGUGAGUUGAUGAUUCAGGGAAUCCGAAUUGUUCUCAUGAAAUCAAGUCGUACGAGUCACCUGACCAGGUCCAAAGGUGACUUGGUGUUUGUGCCUGUUCAUAAAGGCCACACACAAGGGUUGGGCGAAAAGUCUAGUUUAUGGGCCAUAAAACCAAAAUGGUGAGCUAAAAGACACAAAGGUUUCAUGGCAUACCCAGAUUGUAGAAUAGUCUGAACAGCAAAAAGAAUAUAGUUACUGGUGUCUGCCUUGUUACCACACCAACCCAAGCAGAAAGGUUGGUGUCGUCUGGACACAAAUCCAUUCUGAUCAUUUUUGAAUAUCCGUCUGUCUGAAGUCUGAUUUAUGAAUGAAUUUGCCGGCAAUUGCCGCUGAAGAGUUUGGUGGCGAUUAUUUUAGAGUGCAACACAUUCAAUGACUAUAUUAAGAUAUAGUCAUUGAAUGUGUUGCUAAAACAGACAUAUUGAUUAGCUCCGCUUUAAGUAUUGAGAAGAAGAAAAGAGCAUUAUGAUUUUCUUUCAUGUUCUCUGUUCCUCGUGAGCUGUUUUGAGGGUCACCGAGUGGGAAAGCGAGUGCGAUGAAACCGGCUGUUUUCGGCCCAUCUCGAACCUUCCCACUUCUGCAUCCUUGACAUUUCCCAAAACACGAAACGCAACAUCAGGAAGCUCCACCGGCCCAGUGGGUCGGCUGUAAUUGUUGAUUUAUUUAUUUUUUGUCCCCCUUUGUGCGACGUUCUCUGUCAAAGGUUGGAUAAGAGUAUGUGACCAUAUACACAUCAAGACGUGGGAGGUAUAAAAGAAGUAUCCACAGAGAGCCUCGGUGCUGUUUAAUGGGAGCCCGGGGCCUGCCCUCAGACCUGGAUCCUUUCACACAUCUUGCUCCCUGCCUCUCCAAUUACUUCCACUGUCUUGCAACAAAGACCCAACUGACUGCCCUCUCCUUCCCAGACCCUAUCAGUGUGGAUCCACCUGAGAUUUCUCCUCGCUAUCUCUCCAGCAUCUAUUGAAAUGAAGUGUCUUGUAUAACCUUGUAAAUGAGGCUGUUCCUAAUUUAAAAAAAGGGGGUACAGAGUAUCCAAAGGGGCUAAUGUUAAUUCUGUAACUCUACCUACCACCAAGCUUGAAAAGCAAGGUUUCAGACUGUGUGUGUGUGUGUGUGUUUGGUUUUUUUUGUCCAUAAAUGCCCCAGAGUAAGACUGUACUACUUUGGCCUUUUUUUUUGUGCUCCGGUGCUCGAAAGCUGCCUUAACUGCAUGAACUCUUGCAAAGUCUUUGCCAAAGACAAGGUCUCUAUUUUAUACCCGCUAAGGACUUCUCAAACCAAUAAAUCAAUAAUAACCGUAGAACUUAAGCCCCAAAUCUGUUUUUUAAGCUGCUUCAGAUGCUGUUUGAAACAUUAUAAAAAAUGGUGGUAUUCAAACAUCAGCGUUCCACAAAGAUAAAGGCCGCAGUGUUUCCUCCAAAUUGUCCAGCAAAGACACAUUUUAUCAUCAUUUUGCAGGUGUUAAUGACAGAUCCUGCACGAAAGGCUUGACAUUCAUCCGUUAUGAGAGACUCUCUUUGUACUAAACAUUCCUUUUAUACUGCAUUUAAAAUACAUCCUCGAGCAGUAAUUAUCUUUGGUUUUUCCACUUCCCUCCAUCUUUUCCACAUCUCUGACAUCCCCUCUCCCCUUCUUACAUAUUGCUCCGUUUCCACUCCCUCUCUUCCUCAUAUUCCUACGCUGUCCCUCCCCUCAACUUCCCUCUCUCCCCACCUACCCCCUUCCCCAAACACCGAUCUGAUUAAGUUGAACAGUAUCCCAGGUAAAGUUUGCACCUGCUUUUUAAGGCAAAGGUCCUUCCACAGCUUCAACAGGUUCUUUUCGAUCUCAACUUAUUUUUCGUGCAAGGACAUCACGAUUUUUACCACAAAACACAAACCUUUUGGAUUGUCGUUGCUUCUACUGAUAACCCUGUGGAGCUGGAUUUUGACAAGAAUUGCUCUUCUAUCGGGACACCCAGCUCCUCUACAGACCCUCUUCUCUUUUCAUCACUUCAACAACUAUCACCUCCACUGCCUCAUUUUACUCCCUCCAUCCCCACUGCCCUUAUUUUACUCCCUCCAUCCCCACCACUCCGUGGAUGGUCCCUUGCUGAAUGGGACACAUCCCUCAGGAGGUUGCCAGGUUAGACGAUUGAGGUGCUGGAUGUCCAUCUUCUGAAAGCAGAAUGGUCAGGCCAGGCUGUCCAGUCAUUCUGCUCCACCUCUUCAGCAUCUUUGUACAGACAGGAGCUAUUAAGGAUAUCCUGUAUCCUUAUGGACCCGGCCAUAGGGAUCUAGAGACUCCAAAGAUGGAUGAUGGGAGUUCUGCUGAAAUUACUUUGCUCAUUCAAUUCAUUUUCUUCAAUGUCCCCUACCGUACUAUCUAUAUCAACAACAACGGUGUGAUCUCCUUCAACGUGCAGGUUAGCCAGUUCACACCAGAAUCUUUUCCCCUGAGCGACAGUCGGUCGUUCAUUGCUCCACUUUGGGCAGAUGUGCACAACGGCAUCCGCGGAGAUAUUUUCUACCGAGAGUCCAUCGAACCAGAAAUACUGGAAAGGGCAACGCAAGAUGUCCGGAGGUACUUCAAAACCAUGCCCACUUUCUCAGCCAACUGGGUCUUUAUUGCAACAUGGCACCAAGUCACCUUCUAUGGAGGAAGCCAGACAACCCCGGUGAACACAUUCCAAACUGUACUAAUCUCAGAUAGCGUGACGUCCUUCAGCAUGUUCAACUACGGAGAAAUCACAUGGAGCACAGGAACAGCUAGUGGUGGAGAUCCUUUAACAGGACUGGGUGGGACGACGGCUCAGUCAGGUUUCAAUGGUGGAGACGUCGGUCACUUCUUCAACCUGCCAGGAUCACGGUCAAAUGAAGUAGUCAACAUUGAACAGACAACCAAUGUAAACACCCCUGGGCGCUGGUUAUUCCGCGUAGACACUGAACUGGUAGAUCCUGCUAACGGCUGCAGCUACAACGGGCGUUUUUACCGACGGGGGGAAGUGUUCUGGCUGUCUGACCAGUGUUUACAGCGAUGCCGCUGCCUUGACAUUAACAAUGAGGUGCAGUGCCAAGAGGCUUCAUGCGGGCAGCUGGAGACCUGCGAGCAGCAAGAAGGGGCCUUUUACUGCCAGCCAACCCGCACCAGCACUUGCGUGGUAUUUGGCGACCCUCACUACCACACCUUCGACGGCUUCCUAUAUCACUUCCAGGGAACCUGCUCCUACCUGCUGGCUCGGCCCUGCUGGGAGGUGGCUGGGUUGCCUUUCUUUAGCAUCGAGGCCAAAAAUGAGAACCGUGGCGUCGCCUCUGUUUCUUGGCUUAGAGAUGUCACAGUUGAGGUGUAUGGUCACAGAGUCCUGUUGCCCAAAGGCAGUUUUGGAACAGUCCAGGUGGACGGCUUGCUGAAGACUUUACCGGUACAACUCCAGCUUGGUGCUGUCAGGGUAUACCAGUCUGGGGUUGCCAUUGCUUUAGAAACAGACUUUGGACUCCUGGUAACCUACGACGGCCAACACUAUGCAUCCAUCUCCCUACCCAGCUCCUACUUCAACAAUACGUGUGGCCUUUGUGGUAACUACAACGAUGACCCAGCUGAUGAUCCUGUGCUUCCCGAUGGCUCGCUAGCAGAGAGCGUCGUGGAAUUAGGAGGCAGCUGGCGAGCAGAGGACACGGACUGGAGGUGUACAGAUGGCUGCGCCCAGAACUGCAGCGUGUGUGAUGCUCUUACAGAAGCCUUCUACUUUCGCUCUGACUACUGUGGGCUCAUCAACAAAACCGAUGGACCUUUUAGGGACUGCAGAGCUGUAGUGGACCCUACAGCCUUUGUGUAUAGCUGUGUAUAUGACAUGUGUAGCAACAGGGAUAACAUCACCACACUCUGCCAGGCCAUCCAGGCCUAUGCUCUGGCCUGUCAGGCCCUUGGUGUCACGAUACGACCAUGGAGAUCUCGCACCUUCUGCGCUUUGUCAUGUCCGGAGUUCAGCCAUUACCAAGUUUGCACAAGUGCCUGCCCUGCCUCCUGCUCGGAUCUCACCGCUCCCCUGUAUUGUGCUCACCCUUGCACUGAGGGCUGUCAGUGUGACCAGGGCCAUGUUCUCAGCGGCAGCCGCUGUGUUCAGCUUGAGGACUGUGGCUGUGAGCACAACGACCUCUAUUACCCUCUUAAUAACACUUUCUGGGCAGAACCCAGUGGUGAGGAAAGUGAAUGUAGCCUCCGCUGCGCCUGCGGGCCUGCUGGGGAAGUCUCCUGCUUCAACGACUCCUGCAAGGAGGGUGAGGUGUGUGUGGUGGAGGUGGGCUUGCUGGGUUGUUACCCUCGAAGGGAGGGAGUGUGCUCAAUCACCCAGAAUGCAGUGACCACCUCCUUUGAUGGCACCUUCAUGCUGAUCCCAGAUGACAGCUCCUACUACCUGCUGAAGCUGUGCAGUGCGGUGCCAGCUAAUGGCUCGAUGGUUGAGGUGAAGAUGGGCAGGCGGCUGGUGAACAAAGGCCCCACUUGGAAAAGACCUGUGGUGGUCACAGUGGCUAACCUGGAAGCUCAGAUGGGAGGGAUAGAUUUCGAUAUAGUAAAGGUGAAUGGUGAACCAGUGGUGCUUCCAUAUGUCCAUCCGAUGGAGACAAUGAUGAUCUACAAAGCACCAGGCAAUGCUACAGUGGUGGAGUCCCAUGGACUGCUUCGUGUCCAGUACACUCGGCAGGGAUUCCUUAACAUCUCCCUCUCCACCCUCUUCUACAAUGUUACUUGUGGUCUAUGUGGCGUCUUCAAUAGCAAUACCACUGAUGACCUUCGUCUUCCAAAUGGCCGCCUGGCGGACUCUACCGAACAGUUCACAGAUGGCUGGCGGUCCAUUGCUGAUGACCUCACCUGUAAUGGUGACUGCGAUGCCCUUUAUCGGACGUGCACAGACUUGCGUCUCUACCAGAACCCUUGGAUGUGUGGCAACAUCAAUGACCCGGGGAAUAGUUCAUUUCUAGCAUGUCAUGCAGUGGUCAACCCCUCACCAUUCUUCAGGAACUGCUUGUAUAACAUGUGUGUCAAGGAAGGGAAUCGUUCGGCACUGUGUUCUUCACUGCAGGCGUACGCCACCGCCUGUCAGGACGCCCAAGUUGGCCUCUCUUCCUGGAGGAGCGCCACUAACUGCCCUCUUCCCUGUCCACAGAACAGUCACUUUGACGAGUGCACCGGUGCCUGCCCUCUGACCUGUGCCAACUUAGAUGAACCCGAAGAGCCAUGCCCUCUGCCGUGCCAGGAAGGGUGUCAAUGCGAGGGAGGCUUCGCACUUCGCGAUGGCCUGUGUGUGGCACGCAGCGAUUGCGGUUGCACGAGCCACGGGCGCCAGCUGGCCACCAAUCAGACUUUCUGGACAGACUGGGAGUGCCAGGAGCGCUGCUACUGCAAUGGCUCCGACAACAGCGUCUACUGUCAGCUCACACCCUGUCACCCUGAGGAGUUCUGCCAGGAGAACGACGGCCUGUACGUUUGUCAGCCGCGCACUGAGGCCCUGUGCGUGGCGGCCGGUUAUGGACAUUUUCUGCCGUUUGGCAGCGUCCCGUUUGAACUGCAGAGCUCUUGUACUCUAAGCAUGGCCACCACCAGCUGUGGGAGAGAGAACAGGGACAAUGCAACCACGAGUGAAACUUCUCCUCAAUUUAAAUUGGCAGCUCGUAAUGAGGAAAGGGACACGGGCCAGGCCAUUUGGGUGAGGGGCUUUGUACUGGAGGUCUACGAGUAUGAGAUUGAAGUGUCUCGAAGCUACAAAAACACUGUCACGGUGAAUAAGGAGCGUUUGUACCUUCCUCUGAAACUGGGCCUGGGGAAGGUCAACAUCUUCACCUGGGGCAUGCAGCUCAUUCUGGAGACCGAUUUUGGCCUGAAGGUGGCCUUUGACUGGAACACCCUCCUCCUGUUGACUUUGCCCCGCGACCUCUACAGCUCCUGCUGCGGCCUCUGCCAAGGCAUGCCCUUGUCCCCUCCCACCCUCACCACCACCGACUGGGGCAUGGCCUGGGCAGAGCGGGACACCUUCUGCCAGGUGGGCUGUGGAGACUCCUGCCCGCGCUGUGGCCUGGGAGAAACCAGCGCAGUGAAUGACUCCCCUCUCAUGGUGGCCGAUGCCAACAUGGACCUCGACGCGGACAACGGGGAAAAUGAAGUCGACGCAGGCAUACGCUUCCACAUCGGCAAUGGACUCUAUGUGUUUGUGGAGCCCGAGGCAGUGCGGCUCUGUGGGCUAAUUGUGGAUCGAGGCGGUGCGUUUGCUCGUUGUCACAGCAAGGUGGCGCCAGCGUUUUUUUAUCAAAGCUGCCUGCAGGACACCUGCUUGGACCAGGGAGCUCAGGAUACAGUCUGUAACUGGCUGCAGAUGUAUGCCGGCACCUGUCAGACCCAAGGGGCGCCUGUUUCCGGCUGGAGGAGCGACACGCCGUGUGUCCACAGCUGUUCCCCUAACAGCCAUUACUCCAGUUGUGUGUCGGUUUGCCCGCCCCAGUGCGCCCCCGCCCGCGGCCAGAGGGACUGCAGCCAGGACUGUGUGGAGGGCUGCCAGUGUGACCAGGGCUACGUGCUCAACGGCAAGGGCUGCAUCCUGCCUCAAAACUGUGGCUGCUACACUGAUGGCAAGUACUACGAGCCCAAGCAGCUGUUUUGGAACAACGACUGCACCAAGCGCUGCCAGUGCAUCGGACGAAACCUGGUCCAGUGCGACCCGAGGCGCUGCAAGGCCGAGGAAGAGUGCGCCCUGCGCUACGGAGUGCGGGGCUGCUUCGCGCGGCGCUCCCAGCACUGCGUGGCGUCCGGCGGCGGCGUGUUCAGGACCUUCGACGGGGCGUCGCUGCGGCUGCCGGCCUCCUGCUCCUUCGUCUUGUCCACGAACUGCCAUAAGCUGCCCGACCUCUCCUUCCAGCUCAUCGCCAACUUCGAUAAGUGGACCACGCCCAACCUCACCACCAUCUCCCACGUUUACCUGUACAUCAAUGAGGAGAACAUACUCAUCUCCGGCAGCACUGUCAAGGUCAAUGGUACACCAGUAACGGUACCGUUUCUAACUGGGCUGAUGACGCGCCUGUCGACGGCCGAAGGUUUCAUCAUCAUCGACACGCCGCAGGACAUCCAGGUUCGGUACAACCACUUCAACACCCUGAGCAUCACAAUGGGCCAGCGGCUGCAGAACAAGGUGUGUGGCCUCUGCGGGAAUUUCAACGGGGACCCCAGUGACGACUACAUCACCUCCAGGGGGAAGCCGGCCGUCAGCGCCCUGGAGCUCGCCCAGAGCUGGAAGACCAACGGUAUGCAGAACAGUUGUGAUGAAACCCAGUUCGUGGCUCUGGCUCAGUCCUGCGACAACACGGCGGUGCUGGCGCUGCAAAGCGAAGACGCCUGUCAGAAGCUCACCGAGCUGAAGGGUUUCUUUCAGCCGUGCCACGGCCUGCUGGAUCCCCUCCCCUUCUACCAGUCCUGCUACCUGGACGGCUGCUAUAACCACCACAAGGCUCAGGUCUGCGGCUCCCUGGCCGCCUACGCAGAGGCCUGCCGCUCCAUGGGCACCCUCACCACCAAGUGGAUCACCCAGGAGAACUGCUCAGAAUGGAUCUACGACCCCUGCGCAGGAGAGAUCUGCACAAACUUCACCUGUGAGCUGGAGAACGGAGGUGACCUGUGCGGCUGCCCCGAGUUGCCAACCAGCACCGGAGGAGACGAUGACAUCAUCCAGGCGGAGGUGAACUGUAAGCAUGCUCAGAUGGAGGUCUCCAUCUCCAAGUGCAAGCUCUUCCAGCUGGGCUUUGAGCGCGAGGACGUCAGGGUCAACGAUGAGCACUGUGCCGGUAUUGAGGGAGAAGACUUCAUCUCCUUCCGCAUCAACAACACGAAGGGGCACUGCGGCUCCAUCGUACAGUCGAAUAGCACACACAUCAUGUAUAAGAACACCGUGUGGAUCGAGAGCGUGAACAACACCGGGAACGUCAUCACCCGGGACAAGACCAUCAACGUGGAGUUUUCCUGCGCCUACGAACUGGACCUGAAGAUCUCGCUGGAGACCGUCCUCAAGCCCAUGCUCAGUGUGAUAAACCUCACCUUACCGACCCAGGAAGGAAACUUCAUCACCAAGAUGGCUCUCUAUAAGAACUCCUCGUACCGAAACCCGUACAGGGAGGGCGAGGUGGUGCUGAGCACGCGCGACACCCUCUUCGUGGGCGUCUUCGUGGAAGGGGCCGAUGAAAACCAGCUCAUCCUCAUCGUAAACAUGUGCUGGGCCACGCCGUCCCGCUACAGCAGUGACCGACUCCGCUAUAUCAUCAUAGAGAGAGGGUGUCCAAACGUUAAGGACAACACCAUCGGCAUGGUGGAGAACGGCGUGUCGCUCACCUGUCGCUUCCACGUCACCGUCUUCAAGUUCAUCGGGGAUUACGAGGAGGUCCACCUCCACUGCGACGUCACCCUCUGCGACUCCGAAAUAAACGCCUGCAAAGUGAACUGUCCGCACACGAGAAGGAUGUACUCGGAGGACAGUGGUCAUAAAGAGCACAUAUUGACCGUGGGACCCAUAAGGAGGAGAGGCGAUAUCAGACUGGUGCGAGGAGGUAAACGGAGGCUGUGAGCAGAUCUGCACCAGUAAGACGGCCGGACCGGUGUGCAGCUGCGUGACUGGGAUGCUGCAACGAGAUGGGAAGAGCUGCCGGGCUGCGAGCUCGAGCGGUAACCUCACACCUGCGUUCUCUCUGCUGAGCGUCAGCGCUGUGAUCUCCAUGUUGCCGGCUCGUACUCACGCUCUCCUCUCCUAACACCCUGCGAGCACAGGGGGGUGGGGGUGGGGGGUGAGGGAGCCACGUUGGAGAGGAACAAAAAAAACACAGAAAAGACUUGAAGAUGCACAAAGUUCAUCAGCAUUAAUUAGCCCGUAGAUCAGCUGUGUUCCAGUCAAAAAAUAUCCAAACGGGACACUUUACACAUGUUUGAGUGCACUUAUCGUUGAUGCAACCGAAGGUAACUGAACAAGGAAAGUGAGUCGGCACCUUCACCUCCUCCGUUAUAUUCAUACGUCAGGACACCUCACUGUGUAUUAUCGUCUACUUAAAGCCAUCUUUCAAAUAAUUCUGAUACUACCACCAGAUGGCGCCACAGUAAGACGUUUUCUCGUCCCUAUUAUAUCGUGUUUAAGGCGGGUCAUUCCCGAAAGACUUGGGUCCCGUAGGUGGGACGCUGGACACGUUGUUAGGGUGUCCAAAUAAGUGUGCAGACCUUCCUCUGUCGUCUUUCAUUCAAACAUUUAAAUCUGCAGUUCACCUUUUUUGAGAAUGAAUGUUUGUUUUCCGAUAAGUGUGUCCUCCUUGUGACAUUUAAUCUCAUUUGAAAAGGCGAGGGUAUACGCACGUACAUUCAGUUCUUUUAACUGAUUAGAUAAAAACCCGACGAGAGCCCGUGAACUCAGCCUAAAGGCCUAUUUUAGGGCCUAUUGUGAAUUUGUGGGAGCGAAAAGAGGAAAGGAUGAUGUGUUUCACGAUGUUAUCAGUGGGGAGAGUACAUUGUGCAGUGAGUAUUUAUGUGGGAGAUGGGCACCUUGUGGAAUGAAUACUUUUAUUUUUGUUGUCAUAGAUUAGAGCCCAGGUUGUGAGAUAUGCAAUUUCAUUCAUUUUUUUAUCCCUUCUAUCUUAAUCAGUUAUAGUGUCGUAACACCGUUGGCGCCGACUUGUCGAUCCAUUGAACAUGUUGCCUGUUAAAGAUGGACAUGUGAGGACUUAUAAUACUGGUUCUCCAUUCUCCAGGUUUCUAUGUGGCGCCUUCUAUGUCACCACACGUGUUAUGUAACCCUUCAGUGUUCUUUACUUUACGUUUUGUGUUAGUUUAUAUGGCAGUUUUCUCAUCGCUAGGCUACUGUUUUGCUACAUUCUAUGUACAGAUGUACAGUCAUUUCCUGUCGGUAUACAGUAUCUUUGUUUGACGUUUAAAAACAUGACCAAAAUAUGUUUUAAUUCUUUGAGAGCGGUGCCACUCGACUUUUAAUAAAUGAAUAAGUUCUCAAAGUCA